CCCGCUCAGGAGAUUGGACCCUUACAGAGUACAGGCCAGAGGAAAUCACUCCAAUUGCUGUGUUCCCCAGGGAUGCCUUUGUUUUUAGGCUUCAUCCACUUUACACAUUUCUGCAGCAUUCAUUAUUCAGAGGAAUCCGAGGGGAAGCCUGGAAAUUGCAUACUGUUUGGGAGAGAUAGGAUCACAUUGUCAGCUUAUGACAAAUCUAUCUACCAUUGCCCACGGCUAGUCUUGUGUUUCAACAUGGGAGAGAAAACUGUGGUGUAGCAUGAGCGUUGACAUGAGAAGACUCCUCAGGUAUAAAGACUGCAUGUGAUUUAAUAGAACACAGUAUCUACAGUUUACUACCCACAUUGUAUCAAGCAUGUGAUCCUCCCAGCAACCCAGAGAGUCAUGUGGCAUGACCCCCAUCAUACAGAUGAAGACGCAGAAAUCUAGAAGGUGCCAUUUGCCCAAGGUCACAGAGGUGGUGAGCAAUGGAGGCAGGAUUUUGUU